rnacentral:rRNA from 1 species
CAUAGGUUAAUGAGGCGAACCGGGGGAACUGAAACAUCUAAGUACCCCGAGGAAAAGAAAUCAACCGAGAUUCCCCCAGUAGCGGCGAGCGAACGGGGAGGAGCCCAGAGCCUGAAUCAGUGUGUGUGUUAGUGGAAGCGUCUGGAAAGGCGCGCGAUACAGGGUGACAGCCCCGUACACAAAAAUGCACAUGCUGUGAGCUCGAUGAGUAGGGCGGGACACGUGGUAUCCUGUCUGAAUAUGGGGGGACCAUCCUCCAAGGCUAAAUACUCCUGACUGACCGAUAGUGAACCAGUACCGUGAGGGAAAGGCGAAAAGAACCCCGGCGAGGGGAGUGAAAAAGAACCUGAAACCGUGUACGUACAAGCAGUGGG